UUUGCAGCACUUGGGAACUGUAAUCAAGUCUCGCAUCCCAGGCCUCCAGUCGAUAAUUAAUAAAAGUAUUGCUGAACUAGAGGCGGAAUUGAGUCGUUUUGGCAAGCCUGUUGCUUUUGAUGGUGGAGGUAAACUGUACCUGAUUAUGGAGAUUUGUCAUCUUUAUGAUGGAAUUUACAAAGAACAUCUUGACGGCAUGUAUGUAGCUGGUAGAUUGGAAUGUAGCUGGUGUUACUUUCUGGUAGAUUGGAAUGUAGCUGCCCCUGCCCACACAUGAACGACGUUCUUUGUCGUAUGUGAACCAGGGACACAACACAUGGAUGCUCUACUUGAUAUCAUUUAUGAAGUAUUGGCUAAGUUCAUCGUCAUCGGAGGAGCUUAU